UACGUAGGGUGCAAGCGUUAAUCGGAAUUACUGGGCGUAAAGCGUGCGCAGGCGGUUGUGCAAGACAGAUGUGAAAUCCCCGGGCUUAACCUGGGAACUGCAUUUGUGACUGCACGGCUAGAGUGUGCCAGAGGGGGGUAGAAUUCCACGUGUAGCAGUGAAAUGCGUAGAUAUGUGGAGGAAUACCGAUGGCGAAGGCAGCCCCCUGGGAUAACACUGACGCUCAUGCACGAAAGCGUGGGGAGCAAACAGG
rnacentral:rRNA from 1 species